CAGAUGAUAGCGGUUCAGAAUAUAUUGCAGCAUCUAAUACAGCAUUAUAUUCUGCUUCGCAUAUAGAAUCAGCUGCAGUAUGUUGCUUGGAACUCUUCCAGCAAACAGUUUUUUUAUUCAAGGUAAAUAUGUAGCUCGACACACUUUUGCUAUCAUCAUAAUCUGACUGAAAACUAAAAUCAGUGUAUCCCACAAAUUUCAGGUCAGUGUCUC
rnacentral:lncRNA from 1 species